rnacentral:lncRNA from 1 species
GAUGAGAGAGGGAGCAUCAGAAUGUCGGAUCACCAUACAUGACACUGGAGGAGAGAAAGCUUCUUCUCUAACCGACCAUGGUCGAAGACGACAACCACUGCAAUAGAUCUGUCUCAAAUUUUUGAGUUUUUAGAUCUAUGUUGUUUAUGCGACUGAUUUGUCUCUUGAUUCCUAAUCUAUGGACUCGUCUUUUUAGUUUUUCUUUUGGUUUCUAAAUUCAAUUUAGGUUUGGAUGAUGAAUCUUGAGCCUGCUAGAAGCUUUUUUGGUCGACUUGGUUAUAACAAAGUCGUAUUGUAACCAUAACUCAACAUUUGAUUAUAACAAAGCCGUAUUGUAACCAUAAAUCAGCCAUAACGUUUGCAUAAC